GCUUACGGCCACACCACCCUGAGCACGCCCGCUCUCGUCUGAUCUCGGAAGCCAAGCAGGGUCGGGCCUGGUAGUACUUGGAUGGGAGACCGCCUGGGAAUACCAGGUGCUGUAAGCAUU
rnacentral:rRNA from 1 species